rnacentral:rRNA from 1 species
GACGAACGCUGGCGGCGUGCCUAAUACAUGCAAGUCGAACGAGAGGCGGACGGGUGAGUAAUGUCUGGGAAACUGCCUGAUGGAGGGGGCUAACUACUGGAAACGGUAGCUAAUACCGCAUACCAUCAUAUGUGCCCAGAUGGGAUUAGCGAGUAGGUGGGGUAAUGGCUCACAUAGGCGACGAUCCGUAGCUGGUCUGAGAGGAUGACCAGCGACACUGGAACUGAGACACGGUCCAGACUCCUACGGGAGGCAGCAGGGGGGAAUAUUGCACAAUGGGCGCAAGCCUGAUGCAGCCAUGCCGCGUGUGUGAAGAAGGCAUUCGGGUUGUAAAGCUCUUUCAGCGAUGAGGCGUUACUCGCAGAAGAAGCACCGGCUAACUACGUGCCAGCAGCCGCGGUAAUUC